rnacentral:rRNA from 1 species
AUUGAACGCUGGCGGCAUGCGUAACACAUGCAAGUCGAACGGUGUUUGGUGCUUGCACCAGACAUAGUGGCGGACGGGUGAGUAAUGCGUAGGAAUCUGUCUUAGAGAGGGGGACAACCCGAGGAAACUUGGGCUAAAACCGCAUAUUCUCGAGAGAGGAAAGCAGGGGACCGGAAACGGCCUUGUGCUCUAAGGUGAGCCUACGUCGGAUUAGCUAGUUGGUAGGGUAAAAGCCUACCAAGGCGAUGAUCUGUAGCUGGUCUGAGAGGACGGACAGCCACACUGGGACUGAGACACGGCCCAGACUCCUACGGGAGGCAGCAGUGGGGAAUAUUGGACAAUGGGGGAACCCGGUACGAUCCACGCGAUGCCGCGUGUGUGAAG